GAUGAAAAAUUUUGUCCUGCAUUUUUUUUAGUUGUAAUCUCUGUCCUGCCUUUUUAUUUUUCACUCUAUUCGGUCCUGCCUUUUUUUUUAUUAGUUUGUCCUGACUUUUUUUCAUAAAUUGUCAUCCUGACUUUUUUUUUUUGCAAAGUGUCUCAUCCUGCCUUUUUUUUUUACUCAGAACUCCUGUCCUGUCUAUUUUUUCAAAUUUCAUCCUAGCCCCUCCCAUAAAAAUCAAAUGGUAGCUCCCU
rnacentral:lncRNA from 1 species